UGUCUCAACCUAACCAGACUGGGACCGCUUCACAACCGUUUUUUGGAGCCGGCACAGAGCUGUGACACGACAAUCUACUGUCAGCUGUUAUCAGAGGACGCA